rnacentral:rRNA from 1 species
AAUGCGAGACUAGCAAUCCCAUAAACCGUGGCCCAGUUCAGAUCGUAGGCUGCAACUCGCCUACGUGAAGUAGGAAUCGCUAGUAAUCGCAGGUCAGCAUACUGCGGUGAAUACGUUCCCGGGCCUUGUACACACCGCCCGUCACACCAUGGAAGUUGGCCAUGCCCGAAGUCGUUACUCCAACCCUUGUGGAGGAGGACGCCGAAGGUGGGGCUAAUGACUGGGGUGAAGUCGUAACAAGGUAGCCGUACCGGAAGGUGCGGCUGGAUCACCUCCUAA